CCUACGGGUGGCAGCAGUAGGGAAUCUUCCGCAAUGGGCGAAAGCCUGACGGAGCAACGCAGCGUGAGUGAUGAAGGUCUUCGGAUCGUAAAACUCUGUUUUUAGAGAAGAAAAUAUGUGUAAGUAACUAUGCACGUAUUGACUGUAUCUAACCAGAAAGCCAAGGCUAACUACGUGCAAGCAGCUGCGGUAAUACGUAGGUGGCAAGCGUUAUCCGGAAUUAUUGGGCGGAAAGGGCGCGUAGGCGGUUUUUUAAGUCUGAUGUGAAAGCCUGCGGCUCAACCGUGGAAGUGCAUUGGACACUGGCAGACUUGAGUGCAGAAGAGGAAGGUGGAAUUCCAUGUGUAGCGGUGAAAUGCUCAGAGAUAUGGAAGAACACCAGUGGCGAAGGCGGCUUUCUAGUCUGUAACUGACGCUGAUGUUCGAAAGCGUGGGGAUCAAACAGGAUUAGAUACCCCUGUAGUC
rnacentral:rRNA from 1 species